AUGCUGCAGCUCGAGGAGCAGACGCAGGCUCGCAAGACGGGCACGCCUCAUCUCUUCCACACCACGACUCGUCCUGCUCCGCCGCCAGCCGCGCCUGCUGCUCAACCUCCUCCUGGAUGGCGUCCAAGUCCUAACUACAAGGGCAAGCACCCAAUUUACCGUCCUCCCAAGCAGGAGUCGCCAUCUGCUUCGUCGUCUUCGGCGCCUGCACCAUCGGCUCCCAUGGCGCCUCCGGCUUCGGCUCCAACUCCACCACCGUGGCGCCCUUCGCAUGACCCUUGGACGGGGCUUGUGCAAGCCUGGCCGAUGCCCUGGUCCGCGCCAUCACCGUACGGAGCUCCACCAGCCUAUGCAUGGACUUGGACGUCGGGCAUGCGUCCUUCGACUGACGCCCCAGGCCUUCUCGGUUCGCGGCCGCCGCCGCACGCCUACAUAGCGUACGCUUCGUUGUACCACUCUUUGGCGGCUCCGACGGCGUCAUCUGCGUACCCCUACGGUGCACCACCUGCUGCCUACUGGGACUUGGCCGUCCCACCCGCACCGGCGUCUGCACCAACUUACCCUCCACCGGCGGCACCUACAGCUUCUGCUUCGACUACACCACCACCAACCUGGGAUCAGGCUGCGUUCAUUGCUGCCAUGAACUCUCUUACCACUCAAGAUUCAGGUCAUUUACAUCAUUUUCUCGGCAUCGCAGUAACUCACUCCUCCUCGGGACUUUUCUUCUCUCAACGCCAGUACGCCAUUGACAUCUUAUCCAAAGCCGGCAUGCUCGAUUGCCAUCCUGCGCGUACCCCUGCUGACACUGGUUCAAAGCUAUCAUUGGCCAGCGAACCCAUUCCCUACUCUGUAUCGCAAGCUCACAGGAGCUUUGCAGUACCUAACCCUAACUCGCCCUGA
rnacentral:rRNA from 1 species